UUAACCGGAUUAGAUACCCUGGUAGUCCACGCCGUAAACGAUGUGUGCUAGACGUCGGAUGUUCGGCAUUCGGUGUCGGAGCUAACGCAUUAAGCACACCGCCUGGGGAGUACGGCUGCAAGGUUAAAACUCAGAGGAAUUGACGGGGGCCCGCACAAGCGGUGGAGCAUGUGGUUUAAUUCGACGCAACGCGCAGAACCUUACCAGCCCUUGACAUCCCGGUCGCGGGGAGUGGAGACACACCCUUUCAGUUCGGCUGGACCGGAGACGGGUGCUGCAUGGCUGUCGUCAGCUCGUGUCGUGAGAUGUUGGGUUAAGUCCCGCAACGAGCGCAACCCUCAUCCUUAGUUGCCAUCAUUUGGUUGGGCACUCUAAGGAAACUGCCGGUGACAAGCCGGAGGAAGGUGGGGAUGACGU
rnacentral:rRNA from 1 species